CCUACGGGAGGCAGCAGUGGGGAAUAUUGCACAAUGGGGGGAACCCUGAUGCAGCGACGCCGCGUGGGUGAAGGAGUAUUUCGGUAUGUAAAGCCCUAUCAGCAGGGAAGAACAAUGACGGUACCUGACUAAGAAGCCCCGGCUAAAUACGUGCCAGCAGCCGCGGUAAUACGUCUGGUGAAAGCGUUAUCCGGAUUUACUGGGUGUAACGGGAGCGCGGGCGGCGCGUUAAGCCUUGUGUGAAAGCCCGGGGCCCAACCGCGGGACUGCAUUGGAUACUGGCGCGCUGGAGUGCGGGAGGGGUAGGCGGAAUUCCUAGUGUAGCGGUGAAAUGCGUAGAUAUUAGGAGGAACACCAGUGGCGAAGGCGGCCUACUGGACGGUGACUGACGCUGAGGCUCGAAAGCGUGGGGAGCAAACAGGAUUAGAUACCCUUGUAGUC
rnacentral:rRNA from 1 species